GGGAUUAUAGCUCAGCGGCAGAGCGCUCACCUAGCAUGUGUGAGGCCCUGGGUUCGAUCCUCAGCACCA
rnacentral:tRNA from 1 species